AAAUCACAAACCGUUCAAGAGGGUCAAAGUAGAAAUACUGGACAGAUCCAAGUUGUUGUGGCACCGAACCAUUGGUUGAUUCCAUGAAACUCCCUUUAACUAACUGUAUAAAAAGCUUUGUCAGUUCAGUUCCUUCACAAAUAUUCUACUUUGAGCUUCUGCAGAAGAGCAAAGGCUGGUACCACCAUGGUAAAGUUUCUUCUGCUGGCUUUGGCAUUUGGUCUGGCUCGUGUUCAUGCUGAGAUUGAUGGAAAAUGGGUUACUGUUGCCAUUGCUGCUGACAAUGUGAAAAAGAUAGAGGAAGGAAGACCUCUGAGAGCCUACCUUCGUGAACUUAAUUGUAAAGAGUCAUGUGAUAGAUUGGAAUUGACAUUUUAUUUCAA